rnacentral:rRNA from 1 species
CCGUAACUUCGGGAGAAGGCACGCUGGUGGUAAGUGAAAUCCCUGCGGGUGGAGCUGAAGCCAGUCGAAGAUACCAGGCCCCUGCGACUGUUUAUUAAAAACACAGCACUGUGCAAACACGAAAGUGGACGUAUACGGUGUGACGCCUGCCCGGUGCCGGAAGGUUAAUUGAUGGGGUUAGCGCUUGCGCGAAGCUCUUGAUCGAAGCCCCGGUAAACGGCGGCCGUAACAAUAACGGUCCUAAGGUAGCGAAAUUCCUUGUCGGGUAAGUUCCGACCUGCACGAAUGGCGUAACGAUGGGGGCGCUGUCUCUACCCGAGACUCAGUGAAAUUGAAAUCGCCGUGAAGAUGCGGUGUAUCCGCGGCUAGACGGAAAGACCCCGUGAACCUUUACUAUAGCUUCACAGUGAACUUUGAGCAUGUUUGUGUAGGAUAGCUGGGAGGCUUUGAAACCAGGACGCCAGUUCUGGUGGAGCCAACCUUGAAAUACCAGCCUGACAUGUUUGAGGUUCUAACUUGGUCCCCUUAUCGGGGAUGAGGACACUGUGUGGUGGGUAGUUUGACUGGGGUGGUCGCCUCCAAAAGAGUAACGGAGGCUUUCAAAGGUACCCUCAGCACGCUUGGUAACCGUGCGCAGAGUGCAAUAGCAUAAGGGUGCUUGACUGUAAGGCCUACAAGCCGAGCAGGUACGAAAGUAGGAUAUAGUGAUCCGGCGGUUCUGUAUGGAAGGGCCGUCGCUCAAAGGAUAAAAGGUACUCCGGGGAUAACAGGCUGAUACCGCCCAAGAGUUCACAUCGACGGCGGUGUUUGGCACCUCGAUGUCGGCUCAUCACAUCCUGGGGCUGAAGCCGGUCCCAAGGGUAUGGCUGUUCGCCAUUUAAAGUGGUACGCGAGCUGGGUUUAGAACGUCGUGAGACAGUUCGGUCUCUAUCUGUUGUGGGCGUAAGAAACUUGAGUAGAUCUGUCUUUAGUACGAGAGGACCGAGAUGGACUAACCGCUGGUGUACCAGUUGUUCCGCCAGGAGCACUGCUGGGUAGCUACGUUGGGAAGGGAUAAGCACUGAAAGCAUCUAAGUGCGAAACCCACUACAAGAUGAGGUUUCUUUUAAGGGAUGUUCUAGAUUAGGACGUAGAUAGGCUACAGGUGUAAAGGCAGUAAUGUCAAAGC